UUGAGGGGAAUGUUGUCUGGUUCAAGGUCAUGUGAAGCUACUUGGUCAUCUUUUUUAGCUAGUUUGAUCUCCUCGGACCAGGCUUCAUUCCUCUCAA
rnacentral:pre_miRNA from 1 species